rnacentral:rRNA from 1 species
GUGAGGAAUAUUGGUCAAUGGGCGGGAGCCUGAACCAGCCAAGUCGCGUGAGGGAAGACGGUCCUAUGGAUUGUAAACCUCUUUAGGCGGGGAGCAAUGCCGGGCACGCGUGCCCGGAGGGAGAGUACCCGCAGAAUAAGCAUCGGCUAACUCCGUGCCAGCAGCCGCGGUAAUACGGAGGAUGCGAGCGUUAUCCGGAUUUAUUGGGUUUAAAGGGUGCGUAGGCGGAUUUUUAAGUCAGCGGUAAAAUGUCCGGGCUCAACCCGGGCCGGCCGUUGAAACUGGGGAUCUUGAGUGGGCGAGAAGUAUGCGGAAUGCGUGGUGUAGCGGUGAAAUGCAUAGAUAUCACGCAGAACUCCGAUUGCGAAGGCAGCAUACCGGCGCCCGACUGACGCUGAGGCACGAAAGCGUGGGGAUCGAACAGGAUUAGAAACCCCAGUAGUCC